rnacentral:tRNA from 1 species
GGGCGAAAGUGGCGGAAUUGGCAGACGCGCAGGAUUCAGGAUCCUGUGGGGUAAAACCCGUGGGGGUUCAAGUCCCCCCUUCACUCU